UUAGCCCUGAUUGAAGUGGCAUCCUUUUUUGAGAUGCUGAAAUAAAAUUGGCAUGAGAAAAAGAUAUAGCGGAAAGCACG
rnacentral:sRNA from 1 species